rnacentral:rRNA from 1 species
AUUGAACGCUGGCGGCAUGCUUUACACAUGCAAGUCGAACGGCAGCGCGGGCUUCGGCCUGGCGGCGAGUGGCGAACGGGUGAGUAAUGCAUCGGAACGUGCCCAGUAGUGGGGGAUAGCCCGGCGAAAGCCGGAUUAAUACCGCAUACGACCUGAGGGUGAAAGCGGGGGACCGAAAGGCCUCGCGCUAUUGGAGCGGCCGAUGUCGGAUUAGCUAGUUGGUGGGGUAAAGGCUUACCAAGGCGACGAUCCGUAGCUGGUCUGAGAGGACGACCAGCCACACUGGGACUGACACGGCCCAGACUCCUACGGGAGGCAGCAGUGGGGAAUUUUGGACAAUGGGGGCAACCCUGAUCCAGCCAUGCCGCGUGCGGGAAGAAGGCCUUCGGGUUGUAAACCGCUUUUGUUCGGGAAGAAAUCCUCUGGGCUAAUACCCCGGGGGGAUGACGGUACCGGAAGAAUAAGCACCGGCUAACUACGUG